AAAUACAUAUUCGUACAUUCAUUUGUUUAUAUUAUAGAUACUAAUUUAACAAUAUUUCACAUUUAGUUUAUUAAAUUUAGUGCUAUUGCGAACUUUGCAAAUUUAUAUAUUAACAAUCAUAAUAUUGAAAAUUUUAAAUUGUAAGUUCAGCACAGUCAAAUUAGAAGCAGUAUAAACAACUUCUGCGUUUUUUUUUUGAGCUCUGUUAUUAUGUUAACUAUAUAGAAGACUCUGUGCACGUCGAAAAUAAGUAGUGAAACUGCUACUCAAAAAGUCCGAUGAAAUUUGUUGUACAUCAUCCGAUGCCUGAAAAAUAUGUAUAGUUGGUUAGAAAUAGUUAAAACAUCCAGGGUUCUCAUUUACUACUCCGGAGCAGCAAAAUUUCUAUAAUUAUUUGUAUGCUAUCGCUACCGCUCUCGAGAGCCACAGCAUAGCCUUAGCAUAACAAUGUAAAAGUAUGUGCUCUACUCUGCUCCGAGUUUUGUUAGAUAAAAAACUAUAGCUGGAGCGGGAGCAAAAAAUUAAAUUCUGCGCAAUGCUCUGGCGUAGCGGUAAAAAUGUAAAAUAUGAAUACGAAUUUAUAAAUGUAAAUACCUCAUACAAAUAAAAAAACCAUGGAGACUAUUGAACCAAAUUUAAGUAACGAAACGGUGACCCAACAAAUGACAAAUACAUUCCCCUUCUGUGACUAAGGGGUAACUCUGAAAAUGAUAAAUCGAACAAUCUCCACUGAUAUAUAUGGCAGAUUAAAGAAAAACUACUACAGAGGGCUCUGCUAACCACAGAGAGACAUAUGGCUAGAACAAGAGAGACCAAUAAAAUAAUACAGGAUUUUUUUGCUGGUAACCUAUGCACCAUAAGAUAAGUAACUCUACUCGUCUUGCAGGAAAACUAAUAGCUUAAUUUUUUGGUCAAUUAAAACACGCCUGGAAUUGUUUAUUAUAGACUUUAUAUAAUAGCCUAGACAGAGGAACAAAAUUAAUGGGCAUUAAGAAACGAAAUGUACAAAUUGAAAUUUCAUGGCGACAGAUGGCAGACUUGUGCAUUUUGACAGUUGAUUGUGACAUUUGUUUAUUUAUUCCAAACGUGAAAUAAAAAUGGAUAAAAAAGAGUUAUAAAUGGCAAUUUUGGUAUUUUUGAAAAACAAAAAGAAAUUUAACGAAAGAAUUCAAUUGUUAUUAAAUACAUUACUAGAUAAUGAAGUGCAAUUAAAAGCAAUAGUAGAUUUUAAGGAAAUCAUUCUAGCUGGACUUGUAAUCGGUCAGGCGCACCAUCGACAUAUUUGGAAAUUCAUCGAGGAGGUAUAUUUUGGGAGCACGAUGUCCCAACCAUGGAUGACUCAAAGUUCAAAGAAAAUUUUCGGCUAGAUAGAAGGGCAUUCAAGAAAGUGUGCAAAAAGGUAAAGAGUAUUGGAAUACCCGCCGCAUCCGCAAGAAUUAAAAAGAAUUGUAGAAGGUUUCAAACUGAUGGGGUUCCACCAAUGCUUUGGUGCUGUAGAUGGCUGCCACAUCGAAGUCCAGCCCAAAAAAGAGGAAGCCAUAGACUAUUACAAUUAUAAAGGCUGGUAUUCAGUCAUUUUGUUGGCAAGCUGUGAUCAAAAUCAAAGUUCACGUACAUAAACAUAGGAUCCACUGGGAGAAAUAAUGACUUGUACAUAUUUGAGGGGAGUUCGCUUAAGAAAUUACAUGACCACGCUCGUAUUUUUAAGGAAAAUAACGAAAUAAUUGAAGGCAUCAAUGUACAUGUGCUUCUUAUUGGCGACUCAGCUUUUCGUUUAUCACAUCACAUGAUAAAAUCAUAUCCAUAUGGGGUUAAUCAAUCGCCUGUUGAAAAGCACCUUAAUUAUCGACUGUCCAAAUGUCGCCGAGUGAUCGAAAAUGCCUUUGGUCAACUUAAAGCGCGCUUCUGUAAAGUUGGAAGAGGCUUGCAAGUUGCUCCUAAAAUGUUAAUAUUAUAAUUAGAGCAUGUUGCAUUUUGCAUAAUUUUCUAAAGAUUGAGAACGAUGAAGUUUUUCCCGCAUGGAUACAAGAAGAAGCAGAAGAUGAAAGAAGACAUCAAACCAAUCACACAACAAGAUUACGAGAAAAUGACCAAACAGCACCAGCGGUUAGGAAUGCCAUAGCAAUGAGAUUUCAAAACGGUACAAAUUACGUUACUUACCACUGUAGCAGUUUUAUUUUUCAUUUAAAAUUUCCUUUUUUAAAUUAAUUUUUAUCUAUACUAAUAUUAUAAAGCUGAAGAGUUUGUUUGUUUGUUUGAACGCGCUAAUCUCCGAAACUGGUUCGAAUGAAUAAUUCUUUUUGUAUUGGAUAGUCCAUUUAUCGAGGAAGGCUAUAGGCUAUAUAUAUAUAUAUAGCAUCACGCUGCGACCAAUAGCGAUAGAGCGAAGAAACAGUGGUAAAUGUGUAAAAAACGGGGGAAAUUAUUUAUCUUUGACGGCUUGCGCUGCGAAAGCGGUUCAAGAUACACAAAAGUUAUGUAUGAAAGAAUUAUUUCUCUUUUAAUGAUCUAAAAAAAGUCCGUGAGUACCGUUUUUGUGAUAACUAAUUUGGUCGAAAUUAUUUGUUAGGGUUGUAUUAUAUACUAUAAAUGAUGAUUUUCGUUAUUAUAUUGGACUUUAUGCCGAAUAUAUGGGUCAAAUUGUGUGAUAUCUUAAUAAAACUAUAGGAAUAAAUAGCGAGAGUAUAAAAUGUUCUGUUGCACCCAAACUUAGCCUUUCCUUAUUUGUUUUAGUAUUGAAAUAUACUUGGAAGUACAGGGAAAAAGUAAACAAAUAUUGAAAAUUUGCUAGAAAGAUAAUAAUAAAAGAAUUAUAUUUAAGUUGAUAACAACGGCGGAACAGUUAAUAUUGAUUUUGGCAACAAUACGAUUUCAAAAUGGCAUUGCGUUGGCUCUCGCAUCUACUGGAAUUGCUGCAACGUUACUAGAAGUUGGAAGAACGGCACAUUCGGCACUGAAGCUUCCGUUAAACAUGCAAAUCAAUGAAACACCUGUUUGCAAACUGAUAGUAUGAGAUAAGUGCAAUUCUCUAGACAGAACAAUGAAAGAUCUGUGGAAUAAUAAUCGUCGCUUUGGUUGCGCAAUGAUACCGUUAGCUGGCGAUUUUCGACAAAUACUUCCUGUUAUUCCAAAAUCAACAGCGGUGGAUGAAUUGAAUGUCUCAAGUCAUAGUAUUUGUGGCGGUACCUGAAAACCAUAUGAUUGACCAUGAAUAUGCGAGUGUUCCUGCAACAGUAUAAAAUCACAGAAGAACUGUUAAAAAUUGUAAAUUGCAAAUUCAGGGAGAUUUGUGUGUUGAAUUUCUAAUUUUUUUGGAUUUGCUUGACGUUACAUCUUAAAGUUGGAUUCGUCAUUAUUAUGUAAUUAUGUCGAAACUGUGUAAUUGAACCCUGAUUGUGACGCAGCUAUCGAAUAAUGUGAUAGUUGCAAGAAUUUUGAAAGGGAAUUAUAAGGGCAGAAUGCUUGAUUCCACCAAUUCCUCUGAGUUCCAACGAUUUGCCAUUUCAGUUUAAACGUAUUAGUUUCCACUGAAACUUGCAUUUGCGAUGUCAAUCAACCGGUCACACAGACAGUCGCUGGAAAUGUGUGGCAUAAAUCUGGAAAUGCCAUGUUUUUCAUACGGUCACGAGUUGAAAAACCAUCUUCUCUGUACAUUUACGCUCCGGAACAGAAAACAAAAAAUGUUGUUUAUCAAGCUGCGUUACAUCGAAAAAAAAAUGUAGAAAAAUCGCAAAUACAGUAUACUCUCGAAAAGUUAAUUCUCAGAAAGUAAAUAAUUUCGGAAAAGUUAAUCACCUUUUAGAUGACACAUGCACCUCGAAAAAGUAAAUUUUUUAAUUUACUUUUCAGAGAGUGUGAUAAAAAAUUCGAAACGAAGCAAGCAGCGUUUUUUACGAUGUUGCAAAAACACUUACUCUCUUGUUUAUCGCGUCUUUUUAGUAAAUAAACUCUCCUACUUGAUCCACUGGUUUAAAAAUGAAAACGAUGCAAAUCAGGUGUCAGACUUUUUGAAUUGUCGUACAAAAAUGGUCAGAAAAUAUAUUGCAAAAGAAAAAAAAACAAAAGAAUAUUCAAGAUUUUUUCUCUUCAUAGUAAAUACAUAUGUAUGUAUGUAAAUGUAAAUAUGUUUUUCAUGUAAAUCCAUAUGUUUUAAUGAAGCAAAUAAAUGAAUGAAUUUUUUAAGUUUAAAAAUGCAUUUAAUAUUAUAAAAACAGAUAAUUUAUGUAUAUAUUUGGAAAAGUAAAUUAUUCGAAAAAGUAAAUUACCCAAAAUACCAAUCGAUUUACUUUUCGAGAGUAUACUGUAAAUGCCAACGCACUUAAUUUUGUUUGGAUAUGCUUUAUUUUCCGCUUAAAAUGACAGUGGAUAGUUUAUGACAGAUAUUCCGUGGAGA